rnacentral:lncRNA from 1 species
UAUCGAAUUUUGAGGAACAUAAGCGAAUUUGGUUUAUGCUGCUGGAAUGAGAGACUUAGAAUCCGCCGAAUGGUUUGAGAAGUUAAAUUGUAGAUGGUGCUUGGAUGACCAAUGUUAAGAACGUAUUUUGACAUGCCAAGUUACAGUGCACUUGAAGUCAAAGGUGUUUGAGAGAACAAGCAUGAUGAGCUAACCCACAUCAGCUGCACAUUUCUUUUCCCUGUAGACAUGAUGGAUGUUAUAUGUUUAAUAUAUUGUAAUAGUUUGAUUGACAUCACUACUAGAAAUGAG